UACGUAGGGUGCGAGCGUUGUCCGGAAUUAUUGGGCGUAAAGAGCUUGUAGGCGGUUUGUCGCGUCUGCUGUGAAAAUCCGGGGCUCAACCCCGGAUUUGCAGUCGAUACGGGCAAACUAGAGUAUUGCAGGGGAGACUGGAAUUCCUGGUGUAGCGGUGAAAUGCGCAGAUAUCAGGAGGAACACCGGUGGCGAAGGCGGGUCUCUGGGCAAUAACUGACGCUGGAGGAGCGAAAGCGUGGGGAGCGAACAGG
rnacentral:rRNA from 1 species